rnacentral:rRNA from 1 species
UACGUAGGGUGCAAGCGUUGUCCGGAAUUAUUGGGCGUAAAGAGCUCGUAGGUGGCGUGUCGCGUCUGCCGUGAAAGCCCAUGGCUUAACUGUGGGUCUGCGGUGGAUACGGGCAGGCUGGAGGCUGGUAGGGGCAAGCGGAAUUCCUGGUGUAGCGGUGAAAUGCGCAGAUAUCAGGAGGAACACCGGUGGCGAAGGCGGCUUGCUGGGCCAGUUCUGACGCUGAGGAGCGAGAGCGUGGGGAGCGAACAGG